rnacentral:lncRNA from 1 species
ACUUGUUAAUUUAACAAUGUAAAAAAAUAGAAAAUGCUGAAUUAUUGAUAGAAAAUUUUUUUCACUAUCUAGAUAAAGAUCAAUAAUUCGGAUCGUAAAUUGAAGAAUCCGAUCAAUUAUUUUUAUAACGUCAUUUGAUUUUGACCGUUCAUUUUAAACCCGCUUAAUAGAUUUUAUUAUGAUUUCAAAAAAUUACGAAAUUUAUUUUUUACAAGUUUCAAAAACUCUAGAUCAUAUCUAACGAAAUAAACCGUCGAUUAAGAAGCUUCAUCAUCAAAAAUAAUUUAUAAGUACGAAAGGCUUUAUACUUAUAAAAAUAUAGUAGCCCCUCUCUCUCUCUCUCUCUCUCUCUCUCUCUCUCUCUCUCUAUAUAUAUAUAUAUAUAUAUAUACAC